ensembl:miRNA
UUUGGGAGGCCAACGCUGGUGAAUCGCUUGAGCCCAGCAAUUUGAGACCAAUCUGGGCAACAAAGUGAGACUUCCAUCUCUACAAAGA